GUUUGUUUAAGAUUUAAGGUUCAAUUAGGAUUUUAUUAGGAUUUGAUUUAGGAAUAAAGAUUUGAUUUAGGAAUAAGGAUUUGUUUUAGGAUUUAGGAUUUAAUUAAGAUUUGAUUUAAGUUUUAGAAUUUUAUUAGGAUUUGAUUUAAGAUUUAGAAUUUUAUUAGGAUUUGAUUUAAGAUUUAGAAUUUUAUUAGGUUUGAUUUUUGAUUUAAGAUUUGAUUUGGAAUUGAUUAAGAUUUGAUUUAAAAUUUAAUAUUUGAUUAGGGUUUGAUUUAGGAAUUAAAAUUUUAUUAGGAUUUAUAAUUUAAGAUUCAAGAUUUAGGAUUUGAUUAGGAUAUGAUCAAGGUUUAUUUAGGAUUUAUUUAUAUUUAUAUUUAUAAUAUUUUUUAUGGAUUUUUUCAAUAUAUAUAUAUAUUUAUAUUUUUU
rnacentral:lncRNA from 1 species